AACCCAUGAUGAGGACACUGAGUUUGGUAACCUUUGAACCGCUCGUAUGCUUCCCCAAAGCCCUCUAGGUUUUGUUGCUGAAAUCCAGAAAUCUGGUUCCUGAGUUU